GAUGAAGAACGCAGCGAAAUGCGAUACGUAAUGUGAAUUGCAGAAUUCAGUGAAUCAUCGAGUCUUUGAACGCACAUUGCGCCCCCUGGUAUUCCGGGGGGCAUGCCUGUCCGAGCGUCAUUGCUGCCCUCAAGCACGGCUUGUGUGUUGGGCCUCCGUCCUCCUCCCGGGGGACGGGCCCGAAAGGCAGCGGCGGCACCGCGUCCGGUCCUCGAGCGUAUGGGGCUUUGUCACCCGCUCUGUAGGCCCGGCCGGCGCUUGCCGAUCAACCAAAUUUUUAUCCAGGUUGACCUCGGAUCAGGUAGGGAUACCCGCUGAACUUAAGCAUAUCAAUAAGCGGAGGA
rnacentral:misc_RNA from 1 species